CUACCGGGGUAUCUAAUCCUGUUUGCUCCCCACGCUUUCGUGCAUGAGCGUCAGUACAGGUCCAGGGGAUUGCCUUCGCCAUCGGUGUUCCUCCGCAUAUCUACGCAUUUCACUGCUACACGCGGAAUUCCAUCCCCCUCUACCGUACUCUAGCCAUGCAGUCACAAAGGCAGUUCCCAGGUUGAGCCCGGGGAUUUCACCUCUGUCUUGCAUAACCGCCUGCGCACGCUUUACGCCCAGUAAUUCCGAUUAACGCUUGCACCCUACGUAUUACCGCGGCUGCUGGCAC
rnacentral:rRNA from 1 species